CACUGAGUUCUGUGCUGAGGUAAUUUAUUGGUGUACAGAAGGCACAGAGACAGAAUAAAGAGCAGCAAGGGGCAACUUUUUGUAACUUUAGCCUGGUGACUGAGCUCUGCGCUGAGGUAAUUUUAUUGGUGUACACUAGGCACAGAGUGAGAAUAAAAAGCAAGGGGCAACUUUUUGUAACUUUAGCCAAGGCACUGAGUUCUGUGCUGAGGUAAUUUAUUGGUGUACAGAAGGCACAGAGACAAUUAAGAGCAUCAAGGGGCACAUUUUUGUAACUUUAGCCUAGGGACUGAGCUCUGUGCUGAGGUAAUUUAUUGAUGUACAGUAGGCACAGAGACAGAAUAAAGAGCUGCAAGGGGCAACUAUUUGUAACUUUAGCCUGGGGACUGAGCUCUGUGCUGAGGUAAUUUAUUGGUGUACAGAAGGCACAGAGAGAAUUAAGAGCAUCAAGGGGCACAUUUUUGUAACUUUAGCCUAGGGACUGAACUCUGUGCUGAGGUAAUUUAUUGAUGUACAGUAGGCACAGAGACAAUUAAGAUCAGCAAGGGGCACAUUUUGUAACUUUAGCCUAGGGGCUGAGUUCUGUGCUGAGGUAAUUUUAUUGGUGUACAGUAGGCACAGAGACAGAAUAAAGACCAGCAAGGGGCAACUUUUUGUAACUUUAGCCAUGGCACUGAGUUCUGUGCUGAGGUAAUUUAUUGGUGUACAGUAGGCACAGAGACAGAAUAAAGAGCAGCAAGGGGCAACUUUUUGUAACUUUAGCCUGGUGACUGAGCUCUGUGCUGAGGUAAUUUAUUGAUGUACAGUAGGCACAGAGACAAUUAAGAUCAGCAAGGGGCAAAUUUUUGUAACUUUAGCCUAGGGACCGAGCUCUGUGCUGAGGUAAUUUAUUGGUGUACAGUAGGCACAGAGACAGAAUAAAGAGCAGCAAGAGGCAACUUUUAGUAACUUGUGCCUAGGGACUGAGCUCUGUACUGAGGGUAAUUUAUUGGUGUACAGUAGGCACAGAGACAAUUAAGAGCAUCAAGGGGCAAAUUUUUUUAACUUUAGCCUAGGGACUGAGCUCUGUGCUGAGGUAAUUCAUUGGUGUACAGUAGGCACAGAGACAGAAUAAAGAGCAGCAAGGGGCAACUUUUUGUAACUUUAGCCUAGGGGCUGAGUUCUGUGCUGAGGUAAUUUAUUGGUUUACAGUAGGCACAGAGACAGAAUAAAUAACAGCAAAGUCAAAUUUUUGUAACUUUAGCCUGGGGACUGAGCUCCGUGCUGAGGUAAUUUAUUGGUGUACAAGUAGGCACAGAGAAAAUUAAGAGCAUCAAGGGGCAAAUUUUUGUAACUUUAGCGUAGGAGCUGAGCUCGGUACUGAGGUAAUUUAUUGGUGUACAGUAGGCACGGUGACAGCAUGAAGAGCACCCAAGGGGCAACGUUUUUUAACUUAAGCCUAGGGAGUGAACUCCGUGCUAAGGUAAUUUUAUUUUUGUGCAGUAUGCACAGAGACAGAAUAAAGAGCAGCAACUUUUUGUAACUAGCCAAGGGACUGAGUUCUGUGCUGAGGUAAUUCUUUUUGGUAUACAGUAGGCACAGAGACAGAAAAAGAGCAACAAGGGGUAACUUUUUGUAACUUUAGCCUAGGGACUGAGCUGUGUGCGGAGGUUAUUUAUUUUUGUACAGUAGUCACGAAGACAGAAUAAAGAGAACCUUGGGCUUUUUUUUUCUAACUUUAGCCUAGGGAAUGAACUCCAUGCUGAGGUAAUUUAUUGGUAUACAGUAGGCAUGGAGACAGAAUAAAGAUUACCAAGGGGUAGCUUUUUCUAACUUUAGCCUAUGGACUGAGUUUUUUGGUGAGGUUAUUGGUGUACAGUAGGCAUGGAGCAACUUUUUCUAACUUUAGCCUAAGAAUUGAGCUUGUUCUGGGGUAAUUUAUUGGUGUGCAGUAGGCACAGAGACAAAAUAAAGAGUAGGAAUUUAGACCUAAUCAUCCAGUCUUAAAUUCAUUUCCUUUAGUUGUGCCAUAGUGAAAUUAGUACCGACUGCCAUCAGAGCUUUCAAUGCCAGUAUAUGAUCAAGAAUACAAAUUUUUUUGUUCUCAGUACUCUUAAUUGUGACAGGGAAUUACAUGCAUUUUGUUCUGGUUCAUAGUAAUGCACAAUAUGCAAGAAUGAAGAAGGAAACACCACAAAAAGGGCCAAACUAUGGUAGACUAGUAGUAAUAGGUGAUUCUGACUGCUUCCCUGCAAAUUUGCCAAAAUGCAUUGAAGUCUAUUAUGGGAGACAAUUUUUUUCACCCAUUGGAGUCUAUGGGCGUCAUUUUCGCAGCGAAACUUGGUGAAACAUUUCACUCAUCACUAAACUAGGAAAUGUGCUCUGUGUUGAGGUAUUUAGCUGUAUGUGGUAGACACAGACAUAGAAUUUAAAGCAUGUCUGUUGCAGGGAAGCAUAAAUAAUUUUCAUAGCUCAAUUCUUUUUCUCAGAGCUCUGACUUGUGCCACUGAACACAUUUUUUGAGAAACCCCAUUUUCUUUUAGUCCCAAAUGGACUGUGCUAAACUAGAAUAGACUAUGAGCUGCUCUCUGUGAUGAGGUAUUAAGCGAUGUAUGGUAGAUAUGGAUACAGAACUGAACAUGUGUUUGAUGGGGUGAGGUGGCAAUAAUCUGCUCAAUUAGGAAUGCAGUUAAUUUUCUACACAGUUCCUAAGAACAAAACACUUGUUUUAACAUGGUGUUUGCACGCAUUAGACACCACAUCAGCUUUCACCAGUAAUUGAUCAAAGAUACAGUUUUUUCUUUAGGUGUCAACAAUACACACAUAGGAAAAAUUUAACUGGGCAAAACUUUGGUAAACUAGGAACUGUUCUCCGGGCUUAGGUUUUAAGUGCCUCUCUGGUUUGGUGACAUGGAGAUAGGGUAAUAGGGUAAACUCCCCUACAGGUCUGGGAAAUUUCCUAUUAGGUUUCUUUUAGGAAGUCCUAGUACCUUUGUUCUUGAUACCUGUGUGGAAUGUGUUCCCUAUUGGCCAGGGUGGGUCUUGACCACUUUCUGUGGAGUUUUAUAUAGAACAGGUUAGAUAUAGUAACUGGGGGAGGUUGGACUUCCACUCUGGGGGGAGUGGAUGCUGCUGGGGAGCUUGGCACCAAAGUUAAGGUAGACCACAAGCCAUUAGUUUAGCUAGGGGACAGUGACCACAUGAAUGAGGUAUAUAGAUAGGGGCGAGUGAGCUUCUGUGUUAGCACACUCUAGGAGUGUAAGGCAGACAGGCUAAGAUAGAAAGAGCAAUCCUAAGCUCCAGUGUAGGAGGAUAGAUCGGAGGUAUCUCUCACAGGUGAUACUGCAUCUGAUAAAUAUUUGUCAUUGCUUCAUAAACUCCUGGCAGCCAUAGCAGAGAGGUGUUCUGCAAUUUAAAAGUGGCUGCUCUAUCUUUAUAAUGGGAGUUCGCUAGCCUUAACCUGGCAAAAUACACUUUAGUGAAAAGGGUAGUGUCCGUACUUUGAAAAAUUACUGGAUUUUCUCUAGAGAAUUUUCACUAGUAAAAAUUCGCUAGUGAAAAUUCACUGGUCAAACAGUGCGAAAGUUCUCUAGUGCUAAGGUUUUUUUUACUUGCGAAUUGUCCUCUUUGCCAUUUAGAAAAUGGGCGAUGCUUUGGCAAAUUGCAAUUUUAAACAAAACAAAUCUUUGUUCUCAUACAUUUACUUAAGCCCUGCAUGAAUCAAGAUGGCCACUGGGCCCCCCUAUUAUCUCUAUUCCACCUUUUUGGUCCUGCAUCUGCAGUGAUUGGUUUGUUAUAGAAUGGCUAAUUCAACUUUCCAAUUGGUCUUCAUUUCUAGUCUCUUGUUUAAAACAAUGAAUGGUUGCACUCUAGCAACCAGAUUUCUGAAAUUGCACUGGAGAGCUGCUGAAAAAAAGCUAAACAACUCAACACCCACAAA